rnacentral:lncRNA from 1 species
AGGUCACUAGGAGCACUGGGAGCACUGGAAUUAUACUGGGAGCACUGGGAUCAUACUGGGAUGAUACUGGGACAUUACUGGGAGCACUGGGAGGUCACUGGGAGGUUACUGGGAGCACUGGGAGGUCACUGGGAGGUCACUGGGAGGUCACUGGGAGCACUGGGAGCACUGGGAUGAUACUGGGACAUUACUGGGAUCAUACUGGGAGGUCACUGGGACGUUACUGGGAGCACUGGGAGGUCACUGGGACGUUACUGGGAGGUUACUGGGAGCACUGGGCCGAUGCCCCCUCCCCUCCCCCCAGACCGGCCGGACCCCCCCCUCUCCCUGCGGCUCUCGGGGGCCUCCGAGACCUCCCUGAGCCUCUCGUGGGAGCCCGGCUUCGAUGGCGGCCUGGCCCAGCACUUCCUGCUCCGCGCUGAAGGCCCGGACGCCCCUCCCCCACCCGCCGCUUUCAUCACUUCCGGUUUUGCCCUGACGCUGGGCGGGCUCCGCCCGGCCACGCCCUAUGACGUCAUCGUGCGCGCCCGCAACGCCCGCGGCGACAGCGACCCCGCCCGGCUGCGCGCCGUCACUUCCGACCCGCCCGAAGCCCCGCCCCCUCUGUGGGAGGAGCCAGGGGAGGAGGCGGCCCCUGGAGGGGGGGAGGGGACGGCCCCUCCCCCACCCGGCCUGGUCGGGGCUCUGAGCGCGCUCGGGGGGCUCCUCCUGCCUGGCCUGGGGGGGGCGCUCUGCUACU